AGUGUAUGAUGACACUUUGAUAAUGGUGAAGACCCAUGAGUGUGCAGAAGGUAAGCCAACCUUGAAAAUCUGAGAGUAUA